AUCAAUAAGCGGAGGAAAAGAAAAUAACCAUGAUUGCCCUAGUAACGGCGAGUGAAGAGGCAAAAGCUCAAGUUUGGAAGCUCAAUGGUUUAACCAUUGCGCAUUGUAAACUGAAAACAGGAUCAAUCAGGUACACCGGGUGAUAAGUUCCUUGGAAUAGGACAUCAUGGAGGGUGAGAAUCCCGUCUUUGACCCGAGUCUAGUAUCUUUUGUAUUGGCCUGUUCAAGAGUCAGGUUGUUUGGGAAUGCAGCCUAAAGCUGGAGGUAAAUCCCUCCUGAAGCUAAAUAAUGGCGAGAGACCGAUAGCGAACAAGUACCGUGAGGGAAAGAUGAAAAGAACUCUGAAGAGAGAGUUAAACAGUACGUGAAAUUGCUUAAAGGGAAGCAUAUAAAGCUAGGAUGCGAUUGUUUUCUUCAGGUUGAGCUUUGGCUUGACUGUUCAGAAGGAUAAUCCGAGACAACAAGAAUUGGAAGAGAAGAAUAAGCCAUUGGGGAAGGUAAUCCUUCGGGAUGUUUAUAGACCUGAUGGUUCGCGCUUUUCUUUCGAUUGAGGUACGCUUUUUUAAAGGUUGUUGUCUGAAUGGCUUUAUAUGGC
rnacentral:rRNA from 1 species